rnacentral:sRNA from 1 species
UGCCAAAGAAAUGGCUCUCACGCCCACAAACCUAAAUAACGAAAUGUCUCUGCAGAUGAAGAUGGACUGCCAGGAACAACAGCUGACUAAGAAAAACAAUGGCUUUUUCCAAAAGCUCAAUGUGACUAAAGGUGCAAUGCAGGAUUUGCUAAAGGAAAUUAUCAAAGUGGACCACAUCUUAGACAGAUCGGAUGAUGAGGAUGACAUGUCCUCCGAAAACCCUCAAACUGACUUCCUUCACAAGGUAGACACUGAAAAAUGGGUAAGAGAGACACUUAAAUGACACAGUAGGUUGAAGAGAAGAACUUCACGCCACAUAUCUCAAACUGGUAAGAAAAUAUCUGAGGGUUUUCUUCUAAUUGGUGCAGAACUUCAAAGCUUGAAAUCAGGAGGGAGGCAGGGGAUAUGGCAUUGUUCCCACUGGAUGCUGCUGUUACAACAUGAAGGACUUACUAGCCUUCCCAUGCGAACAAAAAAGAAAAAAAA